ACCUGCUUGGUCGGUGUUAAAUGAACAGAGGGCAUGAACAGCAGAGAAAUGCCUGGCUGAGAUGACUCAUAAGGUGUGUGGGUGUUUUCCCUUCAUGUAUGUCUCUGCCCCACAUGUAUUCAGUGUCCAUGGAGCCCAGAGGAGGGUGAUGGAUUCUCUGAAACUGGAGGAGGAAACAUAGGUUGAGAAGCGAAGAUUAACACCAAAGUCCUGACCUGUGAGGCCCAAAGCUGACUGAGGGAAAAACUGCCAACUCUAGAAAGAGACAUUGAACUAGAUAGAUGUUCUUUGGGGCUUCCUGAUAUCUCCUGACUGCAAAGGGCCACGCCCACCCAGCUGUAGGUUUGUGUUUGGGCUGCAGGUGUGUGGGGAGCACUGUGGUUCCAUAGCACAGAGAUAAGUGCCUGAGUCUGUGAUCUGGGAGGAGGAAAUGUGCAAAGAGCUGCGACUUUCAUUACUGGCUGCGGAGGAUGUCAGUCUUCCACCUCUCUGCUCUGCCCAAGAAGGACUGUACAACAGGCUGACGAGUCUUCCCCCAGGACGUUGGUAAAACCACUGCAUACUGUUCAAAGUUGUGGAAUAGGUGCACUGCAGCUCUGCGUUCUCCCCCUCCUGCAGAACCAAGGACGCGGGGGGGCUCUGCUGCACUUGCUGUCCUUUCACCCCUGAUUAGAAACAGAGAAAGAGACACAGAUGGCUGUCACUGCAGUGUCCACAGAGCCCUGAGCACACCCAUGUCCUCUGAGAAGGUGGGAGCUCUGCAGGACUCCUGAGCUGCUCUCCCCACCCCUACAUGUGCUGAGCCAGAUCCUCUCAGGUGCCCUGAAUGCUGAUACACAGACUCACAGCAAACCUGGGUGCACAGGAGCCCCAGCAGAGAGCACAGCAGCCUCUUCAUGGUGCUUGUGUGGCUGCUGGAGACAGAAGCAAGUAACCAGCCCCUGGGCUGUGGUGUCAGGGUGGCUGUUGAAGUGUCCCCUCCUUCUUCUGCAACCAGUCAGCUCCAGCAAGGAACCCUGCCUGGCCACACCCUGCUGAGUUCCCUCCCAGCCUUCAGAGCCUGAAGCUCCUCCCAUGCCAGACCUGGCUGAGAGUCUGGGUGGAGUGCAGUGGAGGAGAGAGGGACAGUUUGAGAUGACUCUGGGAUUACAGGCAGUGUGAGUGAUCUCUGAGGAAAAUUGUCUCAGCUCUAUUACAAGAGACUAAAGAACACUAAAAAAAGAAACAAAUAUUUAUUUUAGGAAGCAGAUGCAUGUUCUGACUGAAGAAUCUUUACCAACCUAUGAAUUAAAUAAAGCGAGAGGCAUUUCAAUCAUGCAAACUAAAGCACAUCUGUUUCUAAUGAUUUCCUAUUCUUGGAAUAAACGCAAUAUGUGUUGUGCCAA
rnacentral:lncRNA from 1 species